rnacentral:rRNA from 1 species
CCUACGGGGUGCAGCAGUGGGGAAUAUUGGACAAUGGGCGAAAGCCUGAUCCAGCCAUGCCGCGUGUGUGAAGAAGGCCUUCGGGUUGUAAAGCACUUUCAGUGGGGAAGAAAGCCUUGGGGCUAAUACCCUCGAGGAAGGACAUCACCCACAGAAGAAGCACCGGCUAACUCCGUGCCAGCAGCCGCGGUAAUACGGAGGGUGCGAGCGUUAAUCGGAAUUACUGGGCGUAAAGCGCGCGUAGGCGGUCUGAUAAGCCGGUUGUGAAAGCCCCGGGCUCAACCUGGGAACGGCAUCCGGAACUGUCAGGCUAGAGUGCAGGAGAGGAAGGUAGAAUUCCCGGUGGAGCGGUGAAAUGCGUAGAGAUCGGGAGGAAUACCAGUGGCGAAGGCGGCCUUCUGGACUGACACUGACGCUGAGGUGCGAAAGCGUGGGUAGCAAACAGGAUUAGAUACCCGAGUAGUC